AAAUAAGAAGCAUAAAAUGUAUUUAAUUUCGACUUAAAAGACGGUAAUAAUUUUACCCUUAUUUA
rnacentral:tRNA from 1 species